GAUGAACGCUGGCGGCGUGCCUAAUACAUGCAAGUCGAGCGAACAGACGAGGAGCUUGCUCCUCUGACGUUAGCGGCGGACGGGUGAGUAACACGUGGAUAACCUACCUAUAAGACUGGGAUAACUUCGGGAAACCGGAGCUAAUACCGGAUAAUAUAUUGAACCGCAUGGUUCAAUAGUGAAAGACGGUUUUGCUGUCACUUAUAGAUGGAUCCGCGCCGCAUUAGCUAGUUGGUAAGGUAACGGCCUACCAAGGCAACGAUGCGUAGCCGACCUGAGAGGGUGAUCGGCCACACUGGAACUGAGACACGGUCCAGACUCCUACGGGAGGCAGCAGUAGGGAAUCUUCCGCAAUGGGCGAAAGCUUGACGGAGCAACGCCGCGUGAGUGAUGAAGGUCUUCGGAUCGUAAAACUCUGUUAUUAGGGAAGAACAAAUGUGUAAGUAACGAUGCACGUCUUGACGGUACCUAAUCAGAAAGCCACGGCUAACUACGU
rnacentral:rRNA from 1 species